GUGGCUCAGCAUUUUGUUGCAAUGCAUGAGCGAAGUUGGAAAACAGAGCCAAGUGGCAAACUGUGAAGCAACAGCUCAGCCUCACAGAAUCCUGAAUUGGGAGCCAUGUGGAAAGAAGACUGGAUUGGGAAUCAGAUUCGGGGUCCUGCCUGGGUUUCUUCCAGAUGAUCCCACCAGUCCGCCAUCUGGUCUCAGGUCACUCCUGAGAAACCAUCUGAAUAUGACAAAAGCUACCACUAGAGAUGAAGGAGGAAAGGUUGGUACUUUCUGGUAAUGAGAUAUGAAUUUAUUCUGCAUGAACCACUGGGGAACUGUGCCUUCCUGGGAAUUGCAUGCUCCAGCCAUGCCAUUGGCUCUGGUGACCCACAGAGAGGGUAAUCCAAUUAUCCAUGUAAAGAAAUGUCUGAAAACAAAGAACAAAUAGAAGCUGUGUUUUGGAAGCACGCUCAUUCAUAAAACUGGUAGGUCGCAUUCAUUUCAGAAGUGCAUCAAUUAGAAUAUUGAAGGAAUCUGUGAUUAAAACAUGCAUUCAUUUGUUCAUUCAACAAAUAUGUAUUGAGAGGCUUCCAUGUGCUAGACACGGUCCUAGGGGCUGGAGGUAUAUUAAUAAGCAAAGACAAACAUGGUCCUUGCUGGUAAGUUUAGCAACUGGUUUUCUGGAAACAAAAGCCCUGAUUUUCAGUAUUUGCCAGUUUCAAGCUCUCUGUGCUCUACAUCACCUGGCACAUAGUCAGAACUCAAACGUGGCAACCAUCAUCAUCAUCUUUAUGUCUUGAUCAAAAUCACCAUCAGUGUUAUGUAUGACAAUUAUGCUUUAACAACAUACUGAGAAGAAACUCAUGAUCUACGGGGGAAGGGUCCAAGAUAUGUGUUUAGGAGUGUGUGUGUGUAUAAAGGUAAAGAAAAGCAGGGAAGUGUCUGAAAGGAUACACACUGCAUUUGGUAUGGUUACCUCAAAAAGGUGUGGGGUUGAGUGAAAGGCAACUAACAAAGUAGGACUUUUUUCUUUUCUCUUACUAGAAUUCUGUACAGUUUGAAUUUUCAUGAGUAUGAAUUAAUUUUAUAAUUUUUAAAGAAAAUUUGCGCUGUCCAAAUUGAACAGCAUAACUCUCUCACAUGAUACCAGUCCAACAGUGACCAAAUGCAUAGUAGAUAAAGGGCAGUUAUUAUGGGAGAGUCAGAUACCAUCAUAACAUAUGAAUCACUGUGGAUGGAAUCAUUGUUAAAUGGUCGUCAAAUUGUUUUCCUGGUAAAAAGUGACUUCAGCUGUUGACAGAAAAUGAACUAGAAUCAAGGCACUUGAUAAGUAUUCCAGUUGCUAUAAAACAAACCACCCCAGAACAGCAACUUAAAAUAAUGACAGUGUUUAUUUUGCUCAUAGAUUUGCAAUUAGGGUGGGGUGGGGUGGGGACGUUUUGUCUCUUCUCUGCUUGGCAUCAGGUGGGAUUACUGGAAGGCUGAAGGUGGAAUCAUCUGAAGGUACUCACUCACGUGUCUGGUGGUUGAUGCUGACUGUUGGCUGGGACCAACAUGGGGCUGUGGCUGGAACACAUGUGGCCCUUCCAUACACCUGCUUGUCUUCCCCACAGUAUGGUGGCUGGGUUCCAAAGGUAGUCACAAAGCAUUGCCCAAGUGCCAAGAAAGGAAAAAUGGACUCUAUCCCUUGAUAGCCAAUAUGGAAAAUUGCCCAGAUCCUCUUGUCUGCCCAGCUGAAUGAAUUGUCCUUGGUUCCCACUGGGGCAUGCAUGCACAGAGGACAUGUUCACAGUAGACUGGUCACCAGGUAUGUAUGGAUUACCCAUAGAGCAGCACUUGGAGAAUUGUCAGAAAACAUCAAAUUAAUGGAGUCUACUAGGUUCAAGUCUCCUUUUAUUUUAUGGUACGACUUCUUAGCCCCAAAUCAGCUGUAAAUUAGAUCUGCAGGGAUUCUAGUUUUUAAAAACUCUAAGCUGUUAAUUUUUAUUUCUUUGAACAUAACCAAGUUCUUUCCUCAUUUAAGAAGAUGUGGUUAUCAUGAAACUAAAGGCUUAAAAACUAGCUCUUUUGAUGAUUGACUGUGAAACAAACAAGCAAAAACCAAAAAAAAAAAAAAAGAAAGAAAGAAAGAAAAAGAAAAAAACAGACUUUCACACUGCCUUUUAAAAUGUGAAAAACCAGCUUCUAUUCACAGUUGGAUAAAUCAAUCAAAUUGAAUUUUAGUAAAGUUUUAUCCCCAAAUAUUUUUUUGUUUAGACUGAAGACAGCCAUGAGACAUUUAAGUUCAGUCAACAUUUCAUUCUUCAGAAAUUUGUUAAAGACUUGAAACUUUUUCCAGCUGCCUUCCUCCCAUCACUACAAUGCCAAAGUAGCAAAAGGAGCAAGCCUGGUGCCUGUAUCUUCCCUGAAACUGACAGCAUAAAUGGAAUUCAAAUAUUAUCCUUUGGGCCUCUCUAGCUGGAACUUGUGCAAUAAAGGAACAAGUACAAGCAAUUAAUUAUGGUUAGAGGAUAUGAAUGGGGCAGGACUCAUGAAAGUGGAAAGUUUUGUAUAGAGGCACAAAGAAUACCUAAUAUUUCUACAAAUAGAGGAAACAAUAAACAAAGGCACAGAUGCUUGAAGUUGCCUGCACGUUCAAGGAUGGAAUCGGGGAAGUGUGGAAAGUGCAUGCGUGGAGGAUGGAUGACUUUCUUCGAUUUUGCCAAAAGGAAAGAAUGAGAACAUGAAAAAUAGGGCAGAAUGAGAAUUGCUUUGACUGAAGAUUUCAAAACCACAUCUCCCUCUUCGCCUGCAUUCUGAACGUGGCUGCGUGCACAUCUGAAACCUGGAAGUUGGUGAUGACUUUUUCUGCAGUGACGUAAAGGAGCAAAAAAAGAUGGAUCAGGUUACUACAGAAUAUUGAGCAGAGUUCCCUGUGCUGUACAGUAGGUUCUUGUUGGUUUUCUCUUUCAUAUAUAGUAGUGUGUACAUGCUCUGCUGCUAUGUCUCCUCCACACCCACUGCCACUGUCCAGGCGUCCUGCAGUAACUCCUGUGUUCAUAUACUAUCCUGCAGACAAUAUUCUUCCUCUUCUUCCUCCAACAUUCUCCAUUCAGGCGAGAUCACCAAUUUUAUAAAAACAGUGUCGAGCCAAACUUACCCCAUGUCCUGGGUGGUGGAGGUCAAAAAGAUCAGUGUGGGAGAAGAGCCUGGGAACCCUUGUGUCUGCAAUUGUUGCACCACGUUGGCUGCGGCCUUCUGCAGCCUCCAUGCUGGAGCCCAUCCAAGCCAUCACUGCAGGAUCUCACCGAGUUUCUCUCUCACGUUCUGUAAUAAAGGGCUUUCAGUGUCUGCACAGAUGGGAAUUCUGCUGCCACCUUCUCAUUUCACAUUUCCUGCACUUUUCUUCGUAAGCACUCUACUGCCCAAAAUAGAAUCCAGCUUUUUUAAGUCUAUGUGUAGGAAUUUACUAGGAGAAUGGACAAGGGUCUCUGGAGCUCCCUGUCAUUAUCACACACUAAGGUAAUUUUCUACUGGCUACCAGGUAGAUAAAGGACUCAGAAGGGUGCCUCUGAGUGUCUUGGAGAAUAGCGUGGAUUUUCUUUCGGGGCAGUUGGGGAGGAGCCCAUCUUGAGGCAGGGUGUUAGUGCUGACCCCGUGGACAACGAGGAUAUACGAGGACAGGAGCCUGUGCCGGCCCUGCCACCCUCACAAGUCCUCUGCUCUCCUGAGGUCUCUUCCUGAGGGGAUAUACCCUUCCUUUCUACCUUUUAAAAUUGGGUACCCAGAGGGAUCAACUCCCCUUGCUCCUCUCUGUGUAGUUGAAUCAUCUCCAUCCUUUAAGGUCUUGUUCAAAUCUCACCUCCUCUGGGAAGCCUUCCUAGAUGACUUCAGCUAGAGGUCAUUUCCCUCUUGUCUGAAUUUUUAGAGCCCCUUGAUGACUGUACAUUCUGGGGAUGCCCCCAUAAAAGAUAAUUUACAGCAAUAAUAAAUAUUAACUGAGUACCUACGUGCCAGGCACCAUUCUUGGCACUUUACUGAGAUGAAGUCAGAAUCCCUACAAUGACUCCAUAAGAGAGGCUGCAUUAUUAUUCCCAUUUUACAGAUGAGAUCCUAGGGACCCUAGUGGUGUCAUAACUCCCUUAUCAGAUUAGGAGGGAGCUCCAGUUACCAUCUCUUUGACUUACUGACGUCUCUUUCUCAGCACAAGGCUCAGGGACUUGGCAAUUGGUAAUUGUUCACCUCAUACUUGUCCAUUUAAUUCUGUGCUUAAGGGACAUGAGAUCAUGAAAAUCGCAUUUGAAAAUCGUUUCUGUCAGUCAUAUAUGCUACCUUUCCGUUUCUGUCAACAUGGGAAAUGGUACAGUGGAGUAGGUAGAAUUGAUAAAAAAAAAAUCUUAAUAAAAGACAAAAGACCUCAUUUCAUAUGUACUGUAUGCCAGGCACUGUGGUAAGUGAUAUAUGUUCCCUCUCUUUCUUAAUCUCUGCUUUUCCCCCCAAAGAUCAGAGAGAGGUUGCAGAAUGAUUGCAAAAUGAUCAAGUAAGUAGAUGAAGCCGUUUUAGCAAAAGGAAUACGAAUGUAGGAAAUCAAACAGAAUCCUGGGUUCAGUUAUUACCCAAGAAUGCAUGCCCUGAGGACCCUGCUUUGGAGGUGAGCCACAAAUUUGGCUCCAGGCUUCUUAGUGUUUAUGACAAAAAAGGACACACAAUCAAUUACAGCAUUCACUACCUUUAAGAUGAAGACAAACCAGGUAUUCAGAUGAAGGACACAUAAAUGUCAUAUCAAGUAAUUUCCGGUUACAGUACUCAGUGCGGGCCAGUCUCAUUUUGCUGAAGGACAGAAUGGUAAAAGCCAUUCGAGGAAGAGACAGAACUAUAGGGUCUAGUUUGGUUUAAGACGUUCAUAGACUGUACAUAUUUCAGGAAAUUCUCUCUCAACUGGGCUCCGUACUACCUGCUCCAGACACUUACCUUUCCACUUUCCACUAAAAGCUGAA